rnacentral:rRNA from 1 species
CGGCUUACCAAGGCGACGAUCAGUAGCCGACCUGAGAGGGUGACCGGCCACAUUGGGACUGAGACACGGCCCAAACUCCUACGGGAGGCAGCAGUGGGGAAUAUUGCACAAUGGGGGAAACCCUGAUGCAGCGACGCCGCGUGAGCGAAGAAGUAUUUCGGUAUGUAAAGCUCUAUCAGCAGGGAAGAAAAUGACGGUACCUGACUAAGAAGCACCGGCUAAAUACGUGCCAGCAGCCGCGGUAAUACGUAUGGUGCAAGCGUUAUCCGGAUUUACUGGGUGUAAAGGGAGCGUAGACGGAUGGGCAAGUCUGAUGUGAAAACCCGGGGCUCAACCCCGGGACUGCAUUGGAAACUGUUCAUCUAGAGUGCUGGAGAGGUAAGUGGAAUUCCUAGUGUAGCGGUGAAAUGCGUAGAUAUUAGGAGGAACACCAGUGGCGAAGGCGGCUUACUGGACAGUAACUGACGUUGAGGCUCGAAAGCGUGGGGAGCAAACAGGAUUAGAUACCCUGGUAGUCCACGCCGUAAACGAUGACUACUAGGUGUCGGGUGGCAAAGCCAUUCGGUGCCGCAGCAAACGCAAUAAGUAGUCCACCUGGGGAGUACGUUCGCAAGAAUGAAACUCAAAGGAAUUGACGGGGACCCGCACAAGCGGUGGAGCAUGUGGUUUAAUUUGAAGCAACGCGAAGAACCUUACCUGCUCUUGACAUCCCGCUGACCGGACGGUAAUGCGUCCUUCCCUUCGGGGCAGCGGAGACAGGUGGUGCAUGGUUGUCGUCAGCUCGUGUCGUGAGAUGUUGGGUUAAGUCCCGCAACGAGCACAACCCCUAUCUUUAGUAGCCAGCGGCCAGGCCGGGCACUCUAGAGAGACUGCCGGGGAUAACCCGGAGGAAGGUGGGGAUGACGUCAAAUCAUCAUGCCCCUUAUGAGCAGGGCUACACACGUGCUACAAUGGCGUAAACAAAGGGAAGCGAGACCGCGAGGUGGAGCAAAUCCCAAAAAUAACGUCUCAGUUCGGAUUGUAGUCUGCAACUCGACUACAUGAAGCUGGAAUCGCUAGUAAUCGCGAAUCAGAAUGUCGCGGUGAAUAAGUUCCCGGGUCUUGCACU